ACCUGAAAUAAGUGAACAUGCUCAAAUCGAUCUGC
rnacentral:sRNA from 1 species